UACAGGUGGGGCAACCGAUAUCUCGCGUCGACAGGUGUAAAAGGUAUGUAGGUAUGCUAGAUCUCAUAAUAGGUAAAUUUUUAUUGAUCAAUAAAAACAUAUAUUUGAUGACUAGUGAGUAAUUUGAUGGAAAUUUAAAGAAUUUCGAGGCUAACCGUAAAAUGUAGUAACCCUUGAAGGAAUGCCGAAUGUGUAAACAUUUCUUUUUUGUAAAAUUUGAGCUAAAAUACGAAAACAUGGGUAGCGAACCGG
rnacentral:rRNA from 1 species